CGUAAGCGUGCGCAGGCGGUUAUAUAAGACAGAUGUGAAAUCCCCGGGCUCAACCUGGGAACUGCAUUGUGACUGUAUAGCUGGAGUGCGGCAGAGGGGGAUGGAAUUCCGCGUGUAGCAGUGAAAUGCGUAGAUAUGCGGAGGACACCGAUGGCGAAGGCAAUCCCCUGGGCCUGCACUGACGCUCAUGCACGAAAGCGUGGGGAGCAAACAGGAUUAGAUACCCCUGU
rnacentral:rRNA from 1 species